AGAUUUCGGUAGAUUAGUGUGUGAUAACCACAAUUGAGUUGAGCAGCAGAAAUCCCUCAAGACCAGGGGAAAAAAUUAAAACUUCGGAAGAGAGUAGGUGAUCCUGUAGUACAACAAAUCCUUUGUGGAAUGAGGCAAGCCAAAGAACUUGGCGUCCAAACAGAAGUGUCAUCACUUGAUAAUGGAUAUACUUGAAUCAGCCAAGCUACCCAUUCAGCAGCAGGAUAUUUGACAGCCUUUCUGAUUAAGGAAAAGAAGGUACUUUACAAAAAAGUUCUCUCAUGUUCAUGAAUUUUCAAGGUGGGACUUUUAUUUUCCAUCUGGCAUCUGUUUGUUUCUAAUUUUCUCACUUUAGGUGAACAAACUGUAGGGGAUUUAGAGAUAUCAUUCUGAGGCAUAAGGGCAAUCACCUGUACCACUUUUUAAAGAACUGUAGGUUAAUCGGCUCACUUCUC
rnacentral:lncRNA from 1 species